rnacentral:rRNA from 1 species
AUGACAUCAUAUGGGUGGCUUAAGCUGCCCUCAGAUCAAGUGUUGGAUUAUGCAUCAAUACUCCCCGAGAUCCAAACAGAUCUUGUAGAAGUAAGAAGCAACAAAGAUUGUACGAAGAAACAGAGUUGCUUAGUGGUGGCAAGAUUUAAUUGGUUCAAUUCUGCCAGCAAUGCCAUCAGGGGCGGAGACAGCCCAGUGGGCCGCCCCAGGACGCCUUUGUACACUGUAGCAGAUGUCUACAGUAACUACUACAAUAUACACUGCGUAUGGGCCUCACAACCCAGGCCUGGGCCCUGGGGGCCUGGAUCCGCCCCUGAAUGCCAUCGAUGCUUUCAGAAGAGGGGGCUUGUUAUCCUCAUGGCAACUACUUCCUCCAAUACAAGCAAAAAUAAAUAA